CGUGUAGGCGGCCAGAUAAGUCAGAGGUGAAAGCCCAGGGCUCAACCCUGGAAGUGCCUUUGAUACUGUUUGGCUUGAGUGCGGGAGAGGAAAGCGGAAUUCCCAGUGUAGAGGUGAAAUUCGUAGAUAUUGGGAGGAACACCGGUGGCGAAGGCGGCUUUCUGGACCGACACUGACGCUGAGGCGCGAAAGCGUGGGGAGCAAACA
rnacentral:rRNA from 1 species